rnacentral:tRNA from 1 species
AAGAUAUUAGUAAUACUUAUUACAUAACUUUGCCAUAGUUAAAUCACAGGUUUAAACCCUGUAUAUCUUA